rnacentral:lncRNA from 1 species
CCCUGCCCACAUUUGAACACAAAAUGUGAAGAACUUAUUACCACUAACAACUCAACAAUGCCAAAUUGGAAAAUAAGUCAGAAUUUUGUAAAAUUCAAACAAGCAGAAAAGGAAAAAAAAAUAAAAAAUCUACCAUAACAGUUCCUAAUUUCAGAGUGCAUAAAUGGAGAUUAAAAUUAAAGACCUAAGUCCUUGAGAAAAUCUCACCAAAUGCAAUUAGCAUGAAGCUUCAGCUUUUGUUAGAUUUUUAUGUUCAUAAAUUAGCAAACUGCACUCUAACUAAAUGCCAUUACUUUGUAAAACAGAGAUUUUAGAAUUUAAAUUUGAGUGCAAAUUAAUACUCACCAAAAAAAAGAAAAAAAAAAAAGAAAAAGAAAAAGCAACAUACUAAUCUCGGCUAUUCCUUCAGGAAAUAAGGUGUUCAAGGCAUUCUUUUCACGUGGAAAUCCUUUCCCUCUCUGCCCAUUUUGAUUGAAGCAGUUGGCAGGAAUUUUUCAGGGGGCAAAUGCUCUGUUGCAUAGUUUGGGGAUUGUCCAUCAUGUCUUCUUAAUUACAUUCAUGAAAAAAUUUAUCUGAAAACCUGAGGUUUAGUUUCUUUCUUGAGAAAACUUCCCUAGAAAUACCAUUCAUAGAAGAAAUAAGGAACCCUGAGUUAUAAAUUCUGGUUUUCUGGGACAGCAUCUGGAAAUCUUGCAGAAACCAAACAGCAUCAUCGUGUUUUAUGUAACAUUUCAAGGUACAAAUCUUGCAGAAACCAAACAGCACCAUCGUGUUUUAUGUAACAUUUCAAGGUACAAAUCUACCAUCUUGAAUUGGUCCAUUACAAUCAACCACUACAAUAUAGUCAUUUCAAGAAACUAGAAUUAUAACAUACCAAAUUUGUGGUUAUAGUUCCUAUUUUCCUUCAAGGCCUCCUUGUAGAUGGUGAAUUCCUACUUUAAAAAACUACAUACAACAAUAAUGAUGCCCCUUUGAAGUAUGAAUUGCAGCAGAACUCUAAACAUGCCCUCAGAGAACUCACAUCAUAUUAACAGUACGAAUACAAUUUUGAAUUUUCCAAGAAAAUUAAAAGCAUAUUUUAAACUAAAAUUCUGUUAAAAUAUAUAUAUAUAUAUAUAUAUAUAUAUAUAUAUAUAUAUAUAUAUAUAUCCUGAAGAUGAACUUAAGUGAAACGUCACUUGUUUAGUAAUUAUUGAUAAUACUAGAAAGAAUCUCCGUUGUUCAUUAAAUGCUCCUGCACUUGUAUUAGUAGGGUGGAGUGAUCUUAAGAAUGACUCACUCUCCUCUGCAUGGUGGCUUAGGGCACAAAUAGUACUGGGAAAAAUACAUGGGAUAUCAGUGAGUCAAAUCUAAACAGUAUAUUUCAGCCAGCAAAUUACUAUUUUGCUCCUCAAUAAGUAAUCCAUCCAUGAAGCAUAGCACAAAACAUCAGUAUGGCAGUUGUGAUCACCUUCUAUCAUCCCAAAAUAUUUCUCACGAUCACUAACCAUCAAUCCUAGAUUUUUAAAUUGUUUAAAAUGAUACAAAUCAAAUUCAGUCCACUCCAGAAGCAAAUGACAACCUGAAGUCAAAGCUUAAGACCUUCUACACCCAUAGAGUAAGUUGUGAACUUCAGUAAAGCUAAUAAUGUCCAAUAAAUUAGUUAUUUUUAAUUCACUUUUCACCUGAAAAAAAAAUAAAAUUUAAAACCUUGUUGAUGGUUCUUCAAGGGGUCAAGCUAGAACCAGCUCUAAGUAGAAACUCCAGUUGUGAACUUGUUACAGAGUUGCCUAUGGAACAAUUUGCAUGGCAAAACUCUUUGUUCAAAAUAUAGCAUGAAAUUAAUUCCUUUUGAAAAUUGAACAAUUUUGAGUCAGAUUAUGAUUGAGAUUACAGGGGUUGCACCCAUCCAUCUUCCAAUAACCAAUCUAGACAAUUGUUAUGAAUCAAUUUCAAUAUGAUCAUCUUAAACUCCUAGUUUUUAGUUGCUGAUACAAAAGGACAGUGUAUAAUUCAAGAAGGAAUAUAAUAAUUAUUAAAGCCGACCUUAUCGCUGAAACCAAACAUCACAGAAGACCCAACAUCAAACGUAUACCCAUCUCUCUGGUAGAACCCAGAGCUCCCACCAGGAAUCACAUACUUCUCCAGCACCAACACCCUAGCUCCCUUCACUGCCAGCUGUGUUGCCGCAACCAACCCUCCAAUUCCCGACCCGAUAACAAUGGCAUCGUAUUGCUUUUCCUCUCCUGUUCUUCCAUUCCCUUCCCUCUCUACCACUUCAUCCACACUCAGCACUGAUCUAGGCCUCACAACACAGCUUCCACUCCUACUCCACCUAUAGACCCCUAAUUCAACACCACCAUGCUUGUAACCCUCCAAUCCCAUGGUUUUCACCUGGUCACCAGACAUAAAUCUAUUUCCCAAAUUUCUGGGCCUCAAACUCCCCAACUGUAACUGACAACUGCAAAACCCUAAACCCAUGCUACUCAACUUGUCACCUCUGAAACCCAGGGUUCCCACUUGACCGAAAUUCAUGUCACCCAGCUUGUAACAAUGAAAAACCAGGUUUCUUUGAGGAUCAACAGAUUGAAAUUGGAGCAUUUGGUUGGUGGGUCUUAAACUGCUCAACUGGGUGGCUUUGUAGGGACGGCAGAGUUUAUGAAUUGUUUAGUUCAUUGGAGGUGCAAACGUGUGAAACCCCAAUUUGAAAAUGAGGAAGUAAGCAUGUGGGUUGGGUUGGGUUGGAUUAGGAUUGA